UACGGAGGGUGCAAGCGUUAAUCGGAAUUACUGGGCGUAAAGCGUGCGCAGGCGGUUUGUUAAGUCUGCUGUGAAAUCCCCGAGCUCAACUUGGGAAUUGCAGUGGAUACUGGCAAGCUGGAGUACGGUAGAGGAAGGUGGAAUUCCCGGUGUAGCAGUGAAAUGCGUAGAGAUCGGGAGGAACACCAGUGGUGAAGGCGGCCUUCUGGACCAGUACUGACGCUCAUGCACGAAAGCGUGGGGAGCAAACAGG
rnacentral:rRNA from 1 species